UACGAAGGGGGCUAGCGUUGCUCGGAAUCACUGGGCGUAAAGGGUGCGUAGGCGGGUCUUUUAAGUCAGGGGUGAAAUCCUGGAGCUCAACUCCAGAACUGCCUUUGAUACUGAGGAUCUUGAGUUCGGGAGAGGUGAGUGGAACUGCGGGUGUAGAGGUGAAAUUCGUAGAUAUUCGCAAGAACACCAGUGGCGAAGGCGGCUCACUGGCCCGAUACUGACGCUGAGGCACGAAAGCGUGGGGAGCAAACAGG
rnacentral:rRNA from 1 species